rnacentral:lncRNA from 1 species
ACCCACCUCAGAAUAUACUCCCGUAUCAAGGUAUGCGCGAGAGAUCAUCUUACUGGGCACAAGAGCAAGUCAUUUGUGAUAGAAUCACUUAUUGAGGAUAGACUUGACUCCCGCAAGAUUUUGAGGGACAUGUGAUUGUUUAUCACUUAUUCGGGUCGGGUGCAUCAUGUAUUGAAGAAAUUUACACGUAUUUAUGGUAUCAUGGAAGAUCUAGACUUGCGUCCCCGUUGUUUUCGGUAAAAGAAGCAACCAUGAUACCCAGAUGAUAAACAGCAUAAAGACCACGUAUCUCAGAACCUCGGCAAUCUAUCAAACGAAAUUACGGUACCAAGACCAUAUAUCCGAGAGAUGCGCCACACGAGUUACGCAGUUCAUUAUGUUUAUAUACCAAAGACAGGUUCUUAUUUACGCGUAAAACCUACCGAUGCAACGUAUAAUGAAGCUGUCACAUUUA